CCCCCACCACCAAAAAAGUAAUGAUGAGAAAAAUAGAAUAAAUAAAUAAUUUAUUGCUUGGCCAAAUGAAACUAUGCAGCAAGUUAGAAGACAUAGCCUAACUGCUAAAUUGGUGUAACAUACAGCACAAUUCGCUUCGCAUCAUGUUCCAGAUCCAAAUCAACACAUAAAGUUAGAUAAAUCAAAAGCAAAAUGAUUAGAAGAUAGGAACAAUGCAAGUCAGUCAAGAGUAUAUCUACAAUGCCAAUAUCAUACCAAACAAC
rnacentral:misc_RNA from 1 species